rnacentral:rRNA from 1 species
CAUCUAGCGAUCCGAUGGGGUAUUGUUGCCUUGUCGAGGAGCUUCCCGGAAACGAAAGUCUUUCGGUUCCUGGGGUAGUAUGGUUGCAAAGCUGAAACUUAAAGAAAUUGACGGAAUGGCACCACCAGGAGUGGAGCCUGCGGCUUAAUUUGACUCAACACGGGAAAACUCACCCGGCCCGGACACCGUAAGGAUUGACAGAUUGAAAGCUCUUUCUCGAUUUGGUGGUUGGUGGUGCAUGGCCGUUCUUAGUUGGUGGAGCGAUUUGUCUGGUUUAUUCCGAUAACGAGCGAGACUCUAGCCUGCUAAAUAGUGACUAGAUUUUUAUGUCUAGUCUACUUCUUAGAGGGAUAAGCGGUGUUUAGCCGCACGAGAUUGAGCGAUAACAGGUCUGUGAUGCCCUUAGAUGUCCGGGGCUGCACGCGCGCUACAAUGGAAGAAUCAGCUGGCCUAUCCAUUGCCGAAAGGUAUUGGUAAACCGUUGAAACUCUUCCGUGACCGGGAUAGGGAAUUGUAACUAUUUCCCUUGAACGAGGAAUUCCUAGUAAGUGUGAGUCAUCAGCUCACGCUGAUUACGU